rnacentral:rRNA from 1 species
GGACCCGCACAAGCAGCGGAGCAUGUGGUUUAAUUCGAAGCAACGCGAAGAACCUUACCAGGACUUGACAUAUACGUGAAUACGUUAGAGAUAGCGUAGUCUUUUCGGAGACACGUAUACAGGUGGUGCAUGGUUGUCGUCAGCUCGUGUCGUGAGAUGUUGGGUUAAGUCCCGCAACGAGCGCAACCCUUAUCAAUAGUUGCCAGCGGGUAAUGCCGGGAACUCUAGAGAGACUGCCGAUGAUAAAUCGGAGGAAGGUGGGGAUGACGUCAAAUCAUCAUGCCCUAUAUGUCCUGGGCUACACACGUGCUACAAUGGUCGGUACAGAGGGGAGCAAGAGAGUGAUCUGGAGCAAAUCUCAAAAAGCCGAUCCCAGUUCGGAUUGUAGGCUGCAACUCGCCUACAUGAAGUUGGAGUUGCUAGUAAUCGCGAAUCAGAAUGUCGCGGUGAAUGCGUUCCCGGGUCUU